rnacentral:rRNA from 1 species
AACAAGGAUUCCCCUAGUAACUGCGAGUGAAGCGGGAAAAGCUCAAAUUUUGAAUCUGGCAGUCUUUGCAGGCCGUCCGAGUUGUAAUCUAGAGAAGCGUCUUCCGCGCCGGCCUGUGUACAAGUCUCCUGGAAGGGAGCGUCAUAGAGGGUGAGAAUCCCGUCUCUGACACGGACCACCGGUGCUAUGUGAUGCGCUCUCGACGAGUCGAGUUGUUUGGGAAUGCAGCUCAAAAAGGGUGGUAAACUCCAUCUAAAGCUAAAUAUUGGCGAGAGACCGAUAGCGAACAAGUACCGUGAGGGAAAGAUGAAAAGGACUCUGGAAAGAGAGUUAAACAGUACGUGAAAUUGCUGAAAGGGAAACGCUCGAUGUCAGUCGCGUCGGCUGGGGGUCAACCUUGCGGUUUCGCUGGGUGUAUUUCCUGGUCGACGGGUCAGCAUCAGUUUCGGUCGUCGUACAAGGGCCAAGGGAAAGUGGCACCCUUCCGGGGGUGUGUUAUAGCCUUUCGGUCGUAUGUGGCGGCUCGGGACUGAGGAGACUCGGUGUGGGCUUCGGCUUACACUAAAGAUGCUGGCAUAAUGGCCUUGAGCGACCCGUCUUGAAACACGGACCAAGGAGUCUAACAUGUCUGCGAGUGUUUGGGUGGCAAACCCGAUCGCGAAAUGAAAGUGAAAGUCGAGAUCUCCAUCCACGGAGUGCACCGACGCCCGGAUCCAUCGUCUUUGACAAUGGAUCUGCGGUAGAGCAUGCAUGUUGGGACCCGAAAGAUGGUGAACUAUGCCUGAAUAGGGUGAAGCCAGAGGAAACUCUGGUGGAGGCUCGUAGCGAUUCUGACGUGCAAAUCGAUCGUCGAAUUUGGG